GAUGAACGCUGGCGGCGUGCCUAAUACAUGCAAGUCGAGCGAACAGACGAGGAGCUUGCUCCUCUGACGUUAGCGGCGGACGGGUGAGUAACACGUGGAUAACCUACCUAUAAGACUGGGAUAACUUCGGGAAACCGGAGCUAAUACCGGAUAAUAUAUUGAACCGCAUGGUUCAAUAGUGAAAGACGGUUUUGCUGUCACUUAUAGAUGGAUCCGCGCCGCAUUAGCUAGUUGGUAAGGUAACGGCUUACCAAGGCAACGAUGCGUAGCCGACCUGAGAGGGUGAACGGCCACACUGGAACUGAGACACGGUCCAGACUCCUACGGGAGGCAGCAGUAGGGAAUCUUCCGCAAUGGGCGAAAGCCUGACGGAGCAACGCCGCGUGAGUGAUGAAGGUCUUCGGAUCGUAAAACUCUGUUAUUAGGAAAGAACAAAUGUGUAAGUAACUAUGCACGUCUUGACGGUACCUAAUCAGAAAGCCACGGCUAACUUCGUG
rnacentral:rRNA from 1 species